rnacentral:rRNA from 1 species
AACGUAGGAGGCAAGCGUUAUCCGGAGUUACUGGGCGUAAAGCGCGUGUAGGCGGUUGAGUAGGUCAGGUGUGAAAGCUCCCAGGCUAAACCGGGAGAGGUCACUUGAAACCACUCAGCUAGAGUACGAUAGAAGGGUGUAGAAUUCCGGGUGUAGUGGUGAAAUGCGCAGAUAUCCGGAGGAAUACCAGUGGCGAAAGCGGCACCCUAGGUCGAAACUGACGCUGAGACGCGAAAGCAUGGGGAGCGAACGGG